GAAAAGAAUCAAAAUUAUAGGGACCUUCCUCACCCGAGAAGCACAGAGCCAGGAAUGAGAAUUCAAGAUCCAGCAAGAAGCAUCCAGAGGAGCCUGUGGAAGCAACCACCUGAAACAAUCCUCUCCACCUGUAGCUUCAUGUGCCUUAUCUCCGAAUCACCGCGUAUGGGCUUUCUUCUGGCACUGAGUCAGUCUGCUUAUUGUUAAGUGUUUCCUCAUCUGUUUUUGGCUCCAUGAUGGAUUUCUCCUGGACCCUGAAAGUGGUGAAUAGUUUUGAAGGAAAAUAACCCCACUGAAGCAGAAUACAAUUUGAAGAACCCUCCACAUGUUAUUGCUAAGUCCGGGGAGCCUUCCUUCAGGAUUAAUAGUUCCUAAAUUGCUUCGAUGGCCAGGGCUAGCCGUGUUCUGGGAGGCACAGCAAGUCUUAGGUGGCCUCCUUAGCUCUGGUUUUGCCUCAGAUUGUUUUCACUCCCGUUUCCUCCAAGCUGUCUUUCCUCCUCAGCUGCUCUUCUUCCUCUCUUACUCUCAUGGUGUUGCUCUUCUGUGCAAAUAUACGUAACUUAAAUCACGGUUGCUGUGGUUACACUUUCCGCUCUUUCUAUUUGAGUAUUAAAUUUUGCUUUAUUUUUAAUCAAACCACAUCACAUUUAUUUUUGGGGUCACAGAAGCAUAUUUGGCAUGUUUAAGUUACCACUGUGAGGUUCUUCUCCAAACAGAAUUCAAACCAUUAUGUUACAAUCUGUACCAGACCCUUCCUAGCAGCUGUGUUUAUACAGCUCCUAGUAAAAUGGGCCCCUGAUUAAGAUUUUGAAUAGCGCAUUCACUGUAAAAACGGUGUUUUGAACCAGCUAAAGCUAUUAAAAAAAUUGGGAUAAUGUAUGAUUAAAAGUUUUGGUUUGAAGAAAUGUCAGUGGCAACACCCUGCCAAAUUUUUGGCCCAAAACAUCAUCACCGAUAGUAUCACAAAGAUAAAGUUACCGGAAUUUAACCGGGUAAGAAAUGCUUUUCUUUUGCUUGCUUAAAAAAAUAGCUAAAAAAUUCAUGUGACAGAGAUUGAAAAUUAUAUGUUCAGAGUAGUCACAGAAAUUGGUUGAAGUUUGGUAAAUUAUAUGAAACUGAGGACAGUAAAUAGCCAUUCUGUUCCUGCUGUGCCAGACAAUCUCUGAGGUUGGAGAAGUGAGAGUUGGUAUGCCAGCAGCAAAGCCUUCUGGUGUGUAGGGAGCCCUGCAGGCUUCCAAAGUGUUAAGGCUGGGAAGAAAAGGUACCUCAUCUGGGCUGUUCCCCACUGUGGAGCUGGCAGCUGCAUUUCCGAUAUUCUGCAAGUUUGGCUGCUUUUUUUUUUGCUGCAGGUACUGGCAUUGAACAGAACCAGUAAGCCUACAUUAAGGCAGGGAAACACAAGUGCUGCUUCUGCUCCAUUAAACUGGAAUACAUGAUUAAAGGACCAAAAGCUACUUCAGCUGACAAACUCCAUACUUAAAUGUUUUUUAAAUUGUAAACUAAGAGCAAAGAUUUAUAAGUUUGUGUCAUGAUCCAUAAAUCUAGAUCUCUUCUUGUCCUUUUACUCUAGACAAAUGGCUUGUAGAGGAAAUUGUAGUGGUUUGGAUAAGUCUAGGUUUCAACAGUCAGCCCUCUUAGGUCAGACUUGUAAGAAACAUCUGUAAUUGUUUGAGGAAUUUGGCAGACGAUCUUGUACUUAAAUCACAUUUUCCCCUUUGAAAGUUGGAAAUGUCCAUGUAUAAAUUAGACACACAAGCCAUAUACCUCUGCACUUGUGGAAUUAGACAAGGGAUCAACUUGCUGUUACCUUGUAAAUCCUACUGCAAGGUAAGAGCAAGUUGAUACUUUGCUGUAGUAAAAGAGACCAGCUUAAGGUUCUUUAAAACUGUGUACCUUUUUUGUGCCUCAGAAUAAAAUCUCAUGGUUUUAAGGGGAGUUGCCAUUAAGUGGCAGGCUACUUCAGUGUUUAGAAUUUGCCUUUUGGUUUGGAUUUUCUAAGACUGAAAUCAAAAGGUUCUUUGAAUAAAAUUACACAGACCCUCCUUUCCAGGCAGAAUUGCUCUUAUGUGCAUAGUUGUCACAUACUGGGCCUCUUGAGUCCAUUUAACAUACAGUUGUGCGUAGUCUGUCCAGAAUCAUCUUAUCUUGCAAUAAGAUCAUGUGAAUUCAAAGUAUAUUAAAUUUAAUCCUGGUUUUCAGGAUUAUACCCUGCAAAUUCAAAAUUGCAGAGUAUAAGCAAGGCAUAAUGUUCCUGACUGCUCAUUAUAAAAAAUGAGGCCCAGCUCAUUGUGAAGUAAGUCUUUGGUUCUGCCACUGAAAGCAGAAUUCGGUAAACAGACUUCAGUGGGAAAUUCAAGCUGAUGUCUGGUGACCUUUGUCAAGCAGAACAAAUGUUUGCCACGUUUGCUAGAAUUGUGUUAGUGCUGGAUGCUUCUGGUACAGCCUGAGCAAAUGAAGUUUAAAAGUCUGGCUGGCUAUCAGCAAACGUUGCCUUUUGAUGGAGUCCACAAAUGCUGUAGCAUAGACCCUCCAGGCAGGAAUUUGAGCCUCUGCUUUAUUUGAUGCCAGAUCCUUUAAUAGCUUCAGAAAGUGAUUUUGCUUGUAUCGGAAAAGCAUGAUGAAAACAAGCAAAAUCCAGAAUAAUGUGUUAAAAUUAAUUCCCAUAUGUCAGAUUCCUGCACAGAAUGUCCUUUGGUGGACACAGUAGUUGUCUGAACAACCUGAGGAAGAGGCAGUCACACAGAUGCUGCAUACAGGCUUCAUCUCUGUAUCUUCCAGCUCAGGAAUGACAAAGAACAGCUAUUAAAUAUUUAAGCUUAGCUCAGCUCUUAGUGGAUAAAGAGCCAAAACCAGGCAAGAACCCCUCCACCACUGCCACCCCCCCCAAAAAAAGACAAAAUUUGCAACUGCUCGUUAUAUCUAACCUAUAAGACCUAAAAGGUGAUUCAGAGACUCAUCUGUGUUUCUGACCUUGACCACUCACACUGAAAUGCUGGUAUGUUUACUGUGGAAAUGCCCUCGGUAGCUUUGAGCUCGAGGAUGUACUGGAUUUCUUCCUAGCAGCGUGCAGUGACCAGUCUUGUGUGAUGCCAAGCCUUUACAUAUUCAGCACCCUGCUUUAUUUUAAGGACAAGCUUAGUUGGUUGUCAAUAGUCCUUCUGAGGCAAGGAUUUUUACCAUGGGCUGAUUGAGUGAGAAUCACGCUAGAGGAAAUCAAGCUGGGAGAAUUGCCUCCCUUGAAGCCAUUCCUGGAACAAAAAAUGCCACUACUGUCUUCAGUAUGUCACUACUGUAGCACCAUGAAAAACAGGCUUACUGUUUUCUUGCAACGCUUUCCGCCACCUUCUUUGCCCUUGUUUUCCUUUCUGUCCUCUAUACUUUUUCUUUACUGCUCUCACUUCCACAUUCAGUGUCCCCCUCUGUUUUCACUUACUCCUUUACACACUUAAUCUGAGGCAGUCAGUUCUAACUGGGUUUUUUUUUUUGCCUUUACUCCCUGGGAAACAUCCAUAUCUUUUCUGCUCCCUUCCCAGGGCUUUUUCAUAUGCCAGCACUGGCACGUCUUCAAGCCUCCCUGCUCCUCCAGCCAGGCAAGUAGUUGAUGAUAACAGACGGGGCGCCGGACUGGCCUCAGCUGAGUAUCUCCCCUUUGGGAUGUUCUUGGUGGCCACUGCCAUGCUGGAUGCAGCAUGGCCCAGUUUCUCUGUGUGUGCUGGGGGUGGCAGGAAGGGUUGGCAUAGACAGCACAAAGCAAUCUGGCAUCUUCCACAAUUGCAUUUAUUUUCCCUAUGAAUAUAGGCUUCCUUUUCAGGAAGAUUACCUGUUUGGAAGACAUUUUUCGCAUCUUCAGGGGAAUACAGUGUAAUAUUUCUCUCGCAAGCCUGUCUGAACCACUUCAAGAAGUUGCAGUGAGUAUGUUGGAACUGAUUGGCAGGUGUCAGUCACUGGUUAUACAUCUUCAAUGUUUUUCUUAGGCAGGCUGAAUUGCCUGAUACAGCUCUCUGGAAUGUAGCAGGGGGCAAUGCAGCAUUUUCAUUUAAUUGCUUGUGGAGAUAGCUGCAGGAUUGUGGUGUCAGAAAAUAUUGCUAAAUCUCAGGGGAUUUCUUGGCAUUUUGUUGCCACAAUAAGGUCA